UAUGAUCCCAGAAAUUGUAGCCAAGUAUGACUGUGUAAAAAUAGGCCAACAGACAUUUCUAGUAGAAUACUCAAAACAGUUCAGGUGAUAUCAACAUGGACUACCAAAUAAUGAAAGGUUAGAAAUUGCAACUUAUGAUCACACAGUGUAAUCCCAGAGUGGUCCUUGAUCAUUCACACCACUUUCUGGGUUUGCCAUUUUGUAGGGGGGGCCCACUUGCUACUAAUCUUCUUACCUACAAGGCUACAAAUCACACACUCAGGCCUUUGAACAUGAGGCCUACAUGCUGCCCCCCCUUUGGCUAUAAAUGUGGGCUAAUUAAGUGAGAGUGUACCACAUGUGAUUCGCAAAAUAUUCCAUGACACAGACUCUUACUCCGAAACUUUCCAAUUUUCCAUCUCUUCCCUUCUUCACAGGCUCACAGCCCUGGCACACAAAUGUCUUUCCCUAGUUCUCCCAAUAAUGAGCCGCACACACAUAUAGAUCUUAGAAAGAAGGCGAGUGUUGAGCAAGAUGGAGAAGCAGGGCACGUGCAUUACUAACUCAUGCAUGUUAAUGGCUUUUGCCUAGCCGCAUAAGUUCUAGCUUCAUGAAUUUGGCUCCAUGAGUUUGUAUUUCAUGUGCCCCUCUUCCCCAUCAUGACCACUUGACCUUAUUAUUACUGUGAAUUGCAGCCUCAGGCUCCCUCUUCCUGCUAAUUUCCAGUAAUAUGUGCCAGCAUCUCCUUGUGACAGGUAAGUUAAGUAUCUAAAUGAUAGGAAAACAAAAAAAAGACUUGAAAUGAACUUUCUCCUGUUUCUCCUUUCUGAGAGCUUUAAGUCUUUUUUUGUUUUGAUGCUUUUGAGGAUAACGAUCAAGAAAAAUCCACGAUGGACAUAAUGUCAAAGAAAAGAUAAACAUUUAGCAAGUGGUCUAAAAUUGUAAUCAAACUGUUGAAAAUGCCAUGGUUGAAAGCUAUGUGGUAGUUAUAGUCAUAAUUACUCCACAUGAUUCCCAACAAUGUAAUUUGUUGCCUAUUCCCCAAGAUUCAAAGUAUACUGUCUCCAUCUCGUCGCUGAUAUUUGCUUCAGACCUUCAACUAGACCUGCUGCACAUAACAUCUCUUCCUGAUUUUAUUUUUAUUUUUAUUUUUAUUUUUUUAAAGAAUGGGUUUUACUAUGUAAUCCAUACAGAUAAAGCAGAUUAUACAUUUGAGAUGCUGCAUAUAUGCUGAUAUUUAUGAUUUUUGUAAUCAUCUAUUAGUUAUGUUUUCGUGAAAGAUAUUGUUUGAUAAUUCAUUCUGAGCUUUUAAGUAUGUAUUAAGACUGUGUGGGGAUACUGAACAAACCAGCCAUAGUUAUGGGACUGAAAAGAUAAAAUGAAUAGAUAGGAAAGCCAAAGAGAUGAUCUGUCAUUUUUGUUGGUUGGAUAAAUGUUAUCCCAAUAUGCAAUAAAGGCUCCUCAACUAGUUGGUGGAGGCCAGAUAGGCUACAAACAACAAGCGUUGUUUGAUAAAAAUCCAGGAAAACAAAUAUACACUGGAGCUUCUGGUUUAUUCAAUGUGCUUGAUGGUAUCAUUGUCCACCCAGUGUAAAAUACAAUAUGUUAUAGCACAUAACAUGUAAUAACUGAUAUUUGCUUCAGAUCAUUAAGAACAUCCAUUUUUUCGUUCUUCAUUUACUUUUCAAGAAGACAAGAUAAAGCCUUAAAGAUAAUGACUUGAACAAUGCAAUAUUGACAGAGAACUCAUGAUCUCUAUUACUAACGAGGAAGCUGUGCAGUGCUUUUUGUUUUAUCGGAUCUUUGUAGUUUCUUCCCCGCUAUGGAUCAUGGCUCUUGGCUCGAGUGGUGAGGCCCUAGUCAGGUGCAUGGAUCUGGGUUGUUGCUGUAAAAAGUGCAAUUGGCAAGGCACAUCACAGUAGAGUUUCAUUGUCUUGGCAUUGAUUCCAUGGAUGGAUAGCUAUUUCACCUGACUUUGAACUUGGGAGCAUCAAUUAUUGUUGGCUUCUGCAUAUUGCUUGUGAUGAGAAACUGUGAAGUCACACCAUGAAUGUUGUUUGCUUGGACUUUCGGGAAAGCCCCGCAACCAUUAUCCAAAUGUAUGCUCUAAAGAAAGUCUGCCUUGUGACCUUAGCCAGCAAAGGACCACAAAGAGAUAAAGCAACCUAGGUUUGAACUUAGAACCUUGUGAUUACCAAGUCAACUGUUCGACUGCCUUGGAUGGUGUUUGCUUUUGUUAUUGGAAUUUUUUUUUUUCUUUUGGUCAGAAAAGAAAUUCUUGUUAAUUGGUUAUAUGGGAGUGUUAGAACUGUAAUGGCCUCACAUUUGUGCAAGUCUUGACAAUAGUUAUGGGAGAAAACUCUGAUUAAUGAAUUGUUUAUUGUGUUUUAUCUACUUGUUUGAUACCAUUAGUACAAGUGUAUAACAAAUAAGUGAAUACACAUUUUCUUGCGGUUCUUUA